CAAUAGCGUAUAUUUAAGUUGUUGCAGUUAAAAAGCUCGUAGUUGGAUUUUGGGUCGGGGGCACCGGUCCGCCGUUCCGGUGUGCACUGGUGGCCCCUUCCUUUCUGCCGGGGACGUGCGUCGCACUUAAUUGGGUGGCGUUCGGAGUCGGCGUUGUUACUUUGAAAAAAUUAGAGUGUUCAAAGUAAGCCAUCGCUCUGAAUACAUUAGCAUGGAAUAACAUGAUAGGACUCCGGUCUUAUUUUGUUGGUUUCCGAGACUGGAGUAAUGAUUAAGAGGGACAGUCGGGGGCAUCCGUAUUUCAUUGUCAGAGGUGAAAUUCUUGGAUUUAUGAAAGACGAACUUCUGCGAAAGCAUUUGCCAAGGAUGUUCUCAUUAA
rnacentral:rRNA from 1 species